AUUGAACGCUGGCGGCAUGCCUUACACAUGCAAGUCGAACGGUAACGGGCCUUCGGGUGCCGACGAGUGGCGAACGGGUGAGUAAUGCAUCGGAACGUACCUUUCAGUGGGGGAUAACGUAGCGAAAGUUACGCUAAUACCGCAUAUUCUGUGAGCAGGAAAGCAGGGGAUCGCAAGACCUUGCGCUGAUUGAGCGGCCGAUGUCAGAUUAGCUAGUUGGUGAGGUAAAGGCUCACCAAGGCGACGAUCUGUAGUGGGUCUGAGAGGAUGAUCCGCCACACUGGGACUGGGACACGGCACAGACUACUACGGGAGGCAGCAGUGGGGAAUUUUGGACAAUGUGGGCAACCCUGAUCCAGCCAUGCCGCGUGAGUGAAGAAGGCCUUCGGGUUGUAAAGCUCUUUCGGCCGGGAAGAAAUCGCACAGGCUAAUACCUUGUGUGGAUGACGGUACCGGAAUAAGAAGCACCGGCUAACUACGUGCCAGCAGCCGCCGUAACAC
rnacentral:rRNA from 1 species